GCCCACCCAGCCCCACGUGAGUGCCCGCCCGUGGCCACGCCCCCCUCCCUGGCCACGCCCACGGCCCCUAUACAUGGCCCCCAUAGGCUGCCCGCUAUAGGGUGCCCCCACUGCGUGGCCCCUAUAGCCCCCAUGAUGCAUCCCCUAUAGCACCCAUUGGUGCAUCCCCUAUAAGACCACAGAGCAUCCCCUAUAGCCCCCAUAGCCUGUCCCCUAUAGCCUCCAUAGCCUGUCCCCUAUAGCCCACGUCAUGUCCCCUAUAGCCCCCACAGCCUGUCUCCUAUAGCCCCCAUAGCCUGUCUCCUAUAGCCCCCAUAGCCUGUCCCCUAUAGCCCACGUCAUGUCCCCUAUAGCCCCUACAGCCUGUCUCCUAUAGCCCCCAUAGCCUGUCCCCUAUAGCCCACGUCAUGUCCCCUAUAGCCCCCAUGGUGUGUCCGUAUAGCCCCCAUGGUGCUUCCCCUAUAGCCCCCAAGGCACGCCCUCUACAGUCCUAUAGUGUGUCCCUAUAUUCCCCAUGGCACAUCCCCUAUAGCCUCCCUGACGUAUGCCCUGUAGUCCCCAUGCCAUGUCCCUUAUAGACCCCACGGUGUGUCCCCUGUAGCCCACGCAGUGCAUCCCUUACGGCCCCCCAUGCCACAGGCCUCAUGCACAUCCCCUAUAGCUGCUGUGGCAUGUCCCUUAUGUCCCCUAUAUUCCCCCCUGCAUGUCCCUUAUACCCCCCAUGGCACAUCCCCUAUAGCCCCCAUGGUAUUUCCCUGAUAUUCCCCAUAGAAUGUCCCCUAUAGCCUCCAUGGCACAUCCCCUAUAGCCCCCAGGGUAUGUUCCCUAUACCCCCCAUGGCACGUCCCCUAUAUCCCCAUGCCACCUCCCCCGCAGCAAACCCUCUAUAGGCCCCACACUCCAUCCCCUACACUCCCCGUGCCCCGUGACCCUCUUGCAGCCCCUAUAGCCGCUAUGGGUGCAGGGGGGGCCGGGACCCCGGGGAGCUGCAGGCGGCGCUGGCGGAGCUGCGGGAGCACAACCGGGAGCUGCGGCAGCGCCUGCACCAGCGGCACGAGCAGGCGCAGGAGCUGCAGCGGGCGCUGGCGGGGGCUCGGGCACGGGCUCGGACGGCAGCGGGGGCGCGGGCCCAGCUGGAACGGGAGCAGCGGGGGCUGCGGGGGCGGCUGCAGCACCCCGGGGUGCCCCUGCACCCGGCCGAGGCCGCCCUGCGCGCCCGCUGCCUCCACCUCCAGGAGCUGCUGAACCGCGAGGCCGGGGCACGGGCGGCGCUGGCCCGGGCGUCGCGGGCGGCGGGACGGCGCCUGCGGGUGCUGCUGGCGGAGGCCGAGGAGCAGCGGCUGCGGGGGGAGCGCUACCGCCUGCAGGUGACAUCACGGGCGUGACAUCAUCA
rnacentral:lncRNA from 1 species